rfam:Oreochromis niloticus linkage group LG4, whole genome shotgun sequence.
UCUGGAAUAGAGUUUAAAUACAGUGAAGUUAGCAUUCAGA